GAUGAACGCUGGCGGCGUGCCUAACACAUGCAAGUCGAACGGUCGACUUCGGUCGAUAGUGGCGCACGGGUGAGUAACACGUGGUUGAUCUACCCUCAAGUAGGGGAUAACGUUCCGAAAGGAAUGCUAAUACCCUAUAAGCUCCCGGUGUUUAGAAGACUGGGAGAAAAGUUCCGGCGCUUGAGGAGGAGACUGCGAAC
rnacentral:rRNA from 1 species